AUUGAACGCUGGCGGCAGGCCUAACACAUGCAAGUCGGGCGCGCGGCGGACGUGUGAGUAAUGUAUGUGUAUCUGCCUGAUGGCGGGGGAUCACUACUGGAAGCUGUAUCUAAUACCGCAUACCAGCAUCUGACCCCAUAUGGGAUUAGCUUGUAGGUAAGGUAACGGCUUACCUAGGCGACGAUCCCUAGCUGGUCUGAGAGGAUGAUCAGCCACACUGGGACUGAGACACGGCCCAGACUCCUACGGGAGGCAGCAGUGGGGAAUAUUGCACAAUGGGCGCAAGCCUGAUGCAGCCAUGCCGCGUGUAUGAAGAAGGCCUUCGGGUUGUAAAGUACUUUCAGUCGGGAGGCGUUACCGACAGAAGAAGCACCGGCUAACUCCGUGCCAGCAGCCGCGGUAAUAC
rnacentral:rRNA from 1 species